rnacentral:lncRNA from 1 species
GGGGAAGAAGAAAAAAACGGGAGUGAAGUGUAGAAUCUCAACACUACGGCAAGGUCGGGAUACGAACGGAGACGGAACUCUGACGAGGGGUCAUCUGACGAUCGUGUGAUGGCGUGCUUGGGUGGGUGGAAAUCGUGGUGUGGCUUGUGUAUAGAGAGGUCUCAAAGGCAAGGGAAGAUAUGAGAUUUUCGUUUAAGGUUAUGAUGCUGAAAUAGAAAAUAAAAUGUGAGAUUCUUGUGCAUUUGUUGGAUCUAUGUGAAGAAGUCGGAGAUCGAGUGAUCGGAGCGUGAACCGGAGGGUCGUUUAGGGUUUGACGGAAGGUCGCGACGGGAGAGGAGAAGACAGUUGGGAAGAACCCAAAGGGUUUUGAAUAUAUUUUGAAAAGUUAAAGAAUAAACUAUUACAAGUAACUAUAUAUACCAUGUUGAAACUAACCCUAAUUCUAAUGGGCCAACAUACAGAUUGGGCCUUGUGACUAAUCACUCUUAAAUAAUAGAUGUGUAAUAUAUGUAUAAUUAACUUAAACUAAUCAUUCUUAAUACUCUUAAUACCCCCCCUCAAGCUGGAGAGUGUAUGUCAUAGAGUCCCAGCUUGGGUAGUAGAUUUCUCAGUGAUUCUAAACUUGCUGGCUUUGUCAAUAUAUCUGCCACCUGAAAUGUUGUAGAGAUAUGUUGCAAUUUGAAUAAACCUGCUUGUAAAUGUUCACGAAUUAAGUGACAAUCAAUUUCAAUAUGUUUGGUGCGUUCAUGAAACACUGGAUUUGAGGCAAUAUGUAUUGCAGCCAUAUUGUCACAGUGUAGCAGAGUUUCUCCAGAUGGUUUAACCUGUAAAUCAUUCAGAAAAUAGUGCAACCACAUUAUCUCACAUACAGUUGAAGCCAUAGCCCUAUAUUCACUUUCAGCAGAUGACCUGCUUAUUGUUGUUUGUUUUUUUUUAUUUCCAUGUUAUAGCUUAUCCUCCUAGUAGUAUUGUGUAGCCUGUGAUGGAUUUCCUGGUGUUAGGGCAGUCAGCCCAAUCAGCAUCACAAAAAGCUUCUAAUUGAAGAGGUGCAUUUCUCUUAUAUAGUAUGCCUUUUCCUGGAGCUCCUUUUAUGUAUUUCAAUAUUUUCAUAGCUGAAUCAAAGUGUGAUUGCUUGGGAUCUGCCAAGAAUUGGCUAUGAUGGCUAACAGAGAAUGCUAUGUCAGGUCUUGUGAUUGUCAAGUAUAGCAAUUUCCCAAUUAAUUUUCUGUAAUUUGAAGGAUCCUUCAUUGGAGCAUCCUUCUCUGGAUUUUUGAAGUUGUGGGACAUUGGGAUCUUAGAUGGAGAGGAUCCCAAUUGUCCAAAAUCAUGUAAAAUAUCAAGGGCAUAUUUUCUUUGUGAUAGGAAAAUACCCUGGUUUGAUUGAGAUACCUCAAUUCCUAGAAAGUAUUUGAGUUUACCCAAAUCUUUUAUGUGGAAUUGGAGAUGUAGAUAUUCUUUUAGCUUUUGGAUCUCAGUUUCAUUGUCCCCUGAUAUGAUUAAAUCAUCCACAUAAAUGAGUAGACAGGUAUAUGAGUUUGUGGAAGAUUUAAAGAAUAGUGUGUAGUCUGAAUGAGAUUGGGUGUAACCAAAUUUGGUUAAGGCAGAAGUUAUUUUCUCAUACCAAUUUCUGUUUGCCUGUUUCAAACCAUACAAAGAUUUUUUAAGUCUACAGACUCUUGUAUCAUCUGGUGAUAGCAUGCCUGGAGGAGGGGACAUGUAAAUUUCCUCAGACAAGUCACCAUGUAAGAAGGCAUUGCUUACAUCCAUUUGAUAUGUAGUCCAGUUUUUGGUUGAUGCUACUGCUAAUAAGGUCCUGACAGAUAUAAUUUUAGCAACAGGGGAGAAGGUUUCUUUGUAGUCAAAACCUUCUACCUGAGUAUGACCUUUUGCAACUAGCCUUGCUUUUAGUCUUUCAAUAUCACCAUUUGAUUUAUGUUUUACUUUGAAAACCCAUCUUGAGCCCACAAUCUUUCUUUCUUUUGGUUUGGCCACUAUUUCCCAUGUGUCAUUGAGCUCAAGGGCUGCUAGUUCAUCAUUCAUGGCUUUUACCCAUUCAGGACUUUGGCUAGCCUGUUUGAAAGAAGUUGGUUCUGUGGUUGUGGAUAUUUUGUCCAGGAAAUCAGUGUGGGCAGUGGACAACCUCUUGUAUGUUAGAUAAUCAUGCAUUGGAUAUGAGGUGCCUUUUGAUUUCCCACAGCUUGUUGCAAAUGAGCAAAAAUAAUCAUUUAGUUUUAUGGGAAGUUUUGUUUGCCUCUUUGGAUAUCUUGAGUUUAGUUGGGUGUUUGAAGUAGGAUCAACACUUAUCUUUUGUUCUUGUGUUGUUCCUGAUGUUUCAGGAUUCAAUGUUGUUUGAAUGUGAAUUUCAGAGUUUGGAUUUUUUGAAGUUGACUCUGAAGACUCAGAGUUUGAUUCUGUUGAGGUUUGAGUUUGUGAGUCAUUUUGGGGUAUUGAGUAUACCUCUGAGAGGUCAGAGUCAUUUAGAAGUGUAUCAUUCAGUUUCAUAGUUGUUGUAUUGCUCUUGGUUUCUCCUGAGCUGUUUUGAUUUAGUGGGAAUUCAUCCUCAUAAAAUGUAACAUCUCUGCUUACAGAGAUUUGUUGAUUAUCUAAUUCAUAAAUAAUAGAGCCUUUUUGGGUUGAGGGUUGACCUAAGUAUAUGCAUUUUUUGGCUCUUGGGGAAAACUUGUCUUCUUUUACAAGGCAAGUUGCAUAGCACAGACAACCAAAGGUUCUAAGACCUUCAUAGUUUGGUUGUUUGGAAUGCAUGAGCUCAUAUGGGGAUAAGUUUUGUGUUACCAUAUAUGGUAGUAGAUUAAUGAUGUAAGUGGCUUGGAGGAUUGCAUAUCCCCAUAGCUCAGUUGGGAGAGAGCAUUGAAAUUUCAAUGCUCUAGCAACAUUUAAGAGAUGCUGGUGUUUUCUCUCAACCACACCAUUCUGUUGUGGUGUGUGGGGGCAGCUAGAGUAGUGGAUGAUUCCUUUUGUUUUUAAGAAAUCAUCCAUGGCUGAAGAAAAAAAUUCUCCACCAUUGUCAGUCCUAAUAGAUUUGACAGAGAUGUCAAACUGAUUAUUAAUAAGAGUAUAUAAAUUUCUAAAAAUUGUAAAACAUUCAGACUUCAUAGAUAUAAGGUAAGUCCAUGUGUACCUAGUGUAAUCAUCAACCACAGUUAAAAAAUAUCUCUUCCCAUGAAUUGUUGGAGUGUGAAAGUUCCCCCACACAUCCAUGUGAAGUAAAUCAAAUGCAUUUUUAGUUCUAGAUGCAUGAAGUGGAAAUGAUUUCCUAGGUUGUUUGGCAAAAUGACAAGUAUCACAGUGUUUAUCAAAAAUAAAAGAAGAGUUUGAAAAAUUAAAAUUCAGAUUGUUCAAAAUGUGUUUUAGCCUGUCACUUGAAGUGUGACCAAGCCUCUUGUGCCAUGUAGAAGUUGUGGUGGCACCUGCAAAAGAAUCAUGAUGAUUGAUUGAUUGAUUGAUGUGUGGCAACAGAUACAGUCCCUUCUCCAUCCUACUCUGACCAACUUCCUUCAUCUGAACCUUGUCAUAUAUAAAUGCACAUGAUUUAGAAAAUUUAACAGAGUAGGUAUCAUAUUGGGUUAGCUUGCUAAUGGAUAGCAAGUUAACUUGAAAGGAUGGAUUGAAGUAUACAUCCUUCAGUGUGAUGUUGGGUGAUACAGAGAUGUCACCCUUUAAGGAGACUGUUUGACUGUCCCCAUUUGGCAGUGAGAUCUUGAAAGGAUCACACUUGAUGAGUUUUUGAAAUAAAGAUUCAUUUCCACUCAGGUGCUCAGAGGCACCUGAGUCAAUGAUCCAGUAAAUAUCAGAAUAUUUGUUAAAGAUGGAAUUUGCUUUACCUGGAUCCUUGUAUUUUGGUAGUGGCUUCGGGUUGUAUUUCUCAGAAUAUAGUGGGAAGCCAUAAGGUCCAAUGGGGUUUUCAGGAGAUUCAGCUCUCUUUUCAUCAGUGCUCCAUGGGGUCCAGGUUUGGUCAGAGUUUACACAAUUGGCAGAACCCUGUGCUUUGUUAACCACAGAGGGUGUUGGAGUUGUGGGAUUGGCCCUAGUGUUUCUAGAAGGAUAUCCAUGUUGAUUGAAACACUUUUCAUCACUGUGUCUAAAUACAGCACAGUGGAAGCAGUAAUAUCUCGUAUUGACUUGUUUCCCACUCUUGUAGUAUAUAGGUUCAGUUGGGGUGGGGGGCCUUUUCCUUUGAUUAGGAUUGGAUGAGGAUGGUGUAUCAGUGGGUUUAACUGUUGUUUGGAAGGGUGCUUUCCCUUUUGCAGAGUAGAAUGCUGAGCCUUGGUUUGGGUUUGAACUGCUGGUCAAUUUUUGUUGUGCCUCCUCAUGUAUGACCAUUGAAAACACUUUCCCAAAAUUUGGGAGCUUGUCCAUUGAGAGGAUGGUGGAUCUAAUUUGUCUGAAGUUAUCAUUCAGACCCAUUAAAAACUUCCUGAUCUUUAGCCUUUUUUCCCUUUCAUUCACUCUCCCAUUCACAUUACACGUGCAGGUGAUGCAACUGCAUCUUGGAACCUCCCCAUAGGCAUCUACUUCCCUCCACAAGGUUUUAAGAGUGGCACUGAAUUUAGAUACUGUGUUUGAACCUUGUUGGAGUAGGGCAAUGUCUUGUGUCAGUUGGAACAGAUGUGUCUCAUUAGACUGUUUGAACUGAUCUCUGAGAUCAGCCCAAAUGAUUGCAGCAUCAUCUGUGUACAUGAUUUGGGAGGCUAUCUCCUGAGAGACAGAGCUCCAAAUCCACUGACGGAUUAUCCCAUGACAGGUAAUCCAAGCCUCAUGUUCCUCUUCCUCAUUUUGGGAUGGUUCCUUGAUGGAUCCAUUGACAAACCCCAGUUUUCUCCUAGUUAUUAGCAUGGUUGUCAUUUCUCUAUUCCAUGGGUAAUAAUUUUGGCUACCUUGUAGAAUGUUUAUAAUGGAAGGAGGGCCAUAGUCAGAGGGUUUAAAGAAAUACACAGAUGUGGGAUCAAAUAGGGGACCUCCCAGUGGCUUCUUUCUCAGAAUCUGAAUGGAUUGGGCAUUCUCAUUAUCAGUCAUGAUGAAGAUUCUGUAAUGUUGUUUGUGAUGAUAAAAUUGUAUUAGUAUAGCAUAAUUACAGUUCAAGCAAUAUGAAGGAAUCAAAAAAUAUAUAUUACAGACUUGAUCUGACACUAAAAUGCAUUUAUGAGAUUUUUGGAUUGACAAUCGGAUCGAUUUGAAGUAUCCAGAGUAGGAUAAUUUGACAAUGGUUCUCAGCCCAUCUUUGAUCGAUUUGGAUUGUAAGCAUAGCUUACUCAUAAUUGAAUAAUCAGUGUGCAGCGGAAGUAACAUAAUGAAAACAUUCAUCCUAUGUAGUAUUUUAAUAUUACUGAUGUAAUAUAAACAUGAUAUGAAAAUGACAUUCAAUGAUGAUGAAUAUCUAUGAGUUAUGGAAAUAGCAGUUAACAUGUAAAAUGACUUAAUCAGUAACAGCCAUGGACAUGGAACAUGCAAGCUGUCUAAUAUGAUGUGAUCUGAGGAUGAUCUCAGAUCACAUCUAAACACUAGUGUUUUCAUUGAAGAGUCCUGGAGAUCAUCCUCUUCAUCACUAGGGGAUGAUCUUAGACAACAGGGUAGCAUGCAUAUAGAUCUAACAGAGCAUGCAAGCAGCAAUCUUACAGGAGUAACAAAUAUAUCGCAUGAUGUGUGUAGACCAGUAAUACAUAGAACAUAGAUGAAUACAUCAAGCAUAACCAGCAACGAUACAUAGAGCAUCAAACAUGAACAUGCAAGAGGUGGUUUCAUGUUUUUAAGGGUAAACACAUAGCAUAAUAUGUUUGGAUCAGUAGAUAUAUCAAACAGAACUAGCAAUGGCACACGAAGCAUCAUACAUGAACAUGCAAGGGGGUUUUAUGUAUUUAGGGUUUUCAGUACAUAUAGCAUAUAUGGUUUUAUGUUUAUCACAAGCAAGGUCUUAGAUAUACCAGCCUUCGUUUUGGAGAGGUGUAGAUAGAUCCUUACGGAGUUACUCUUUUCUUCUCUCUUUUGUGUCGCUAGCCCCCUUUGCUUUUCACUGAGGACAGUGCAGUGUGAUCGUUUUAGCAGCGCAGCACUCCGAGAUGCUCUGAUACCAUGAAGAAGUCGGAGAUCGAGUGAUCGGAGCGUGAACCGGAGGGUCGUUUAGGGUUUGACGGAAGGUCGCGACGGGAGAGGAGAAGACAGUUGGGAAGAACCCAAAGGGUUUUGAAUAUAUUUUGAAAAGUUAAAGAAUAAACUAUUACAAGUAACUAUAUAUACCAUGUUGAAACUAACCCUAAUUCUAAUGGGCCAACAUACAGAUUGGGCCUUGUGACUAAUCACUCUUAAAUAAUAGAUGUGUAAUAUAUGUAUAAUUAACUUAAACUAAUCAUUCUCAAUACUCUUAAUACUAUGUGGCAGUGAUAAUGAUUAGUGUGGGAAGUGGGAGUUGGGUUAGACUCCGUAGGUGUUAGGGUGGAAAAACAAGGAUUUAGGUGUGGCCUUUAAAAUAACAUAUGAGUGAAAUUUCACACAUCUUUUAUCGUGGGGUGAAGUUAUGUAUAACCUUGUGAUAUGUAUUAGGUGUCUUCCAUUAUCCUUUUAAGUUAAAAUAAUGGUUUCCAUUUGUCUCUAUUGAAUUUUAUUUUUGGGGUGAACUCUUAUGAGUUAUGUGAAUGUUACGUGGAAGAAUAAUUGUAAGAAUGUUAUUACAAUAUUUUCAGAAAAUCUUGGGGGUCAGUGCAGGAUUUUGAGGGUUUUACACAGAUUUUCUUCAUUUUCAUCUUCUUCUAUAUUCUAAGAAGAUUUUAGAUUCAGUUUCAGAUUUUUAGGGGUUCGAUUGAGAUUUUAAUUGUGGUUAUUUCUUUCGAUAUUUUAAAGGGAUUUUAGAUUUAAAUUUUGGGUUACUGCAGGAUUUUAUUUAUGUUUAUUCAGUACUAGCAGAAGAUCGUAUAUUAAAAUUCUGGAUUUUUCUUGGGAUUUAAUAGCCAGGGCA